UCAUUAGCUUGCUUCUCUGAUGUUAGCGGCGGACGGGUGAGUAACACGUGGGUAACCUACCUAUAAGACUGGGAUAACUCCGGGAAACCGGGGCUAAUACCGGAUAAUAUUUUGAACCGCAUGGUUCAAUAGUGAAAGACGGUUUCGGCUGUCACUUAUAGAUGGACCCGCGCCGUAUUAGCUAGUUGGUAAGGUAACGGCUUACCAAGGCGACGAUACGUAGCCGACCUGAGAGGGUGAUCGGCCACACUGGAACUGAGACACGGUCCAGACUCCUACGGGAGGCAGCAGUAGGGAAUCUUCCGCAAUGGGCGAAAGCCUGACGGAGCAACGCCGCGUGAGUGAUGAAGGUCUUCGGAUCGUAAAACUCUGUUGUUAGGGAAGAACAAAUUUGUUAGUAACUGAACAAGUCUUGACGGUACCUAACCAGAAAGCCACGGCUAACUACGUGCCAGCAGCCGCGGUAAUACGUAGGUGGCAAGCGUUAUCCGGAAUUAUUGGGCGUAAAGCGCGCGUAGGCGGUUUCUUAAGUCUGAUGUGAAAGCCCACGGCUCAACCGUGGAGGGUCAUUGGAAACUGGGAAACUUGAGUGCAGAAGAGGAGAGUGGAAUUCCAUGUGUAGCGGUGAAAUGCGCACAGAUAUGGGAGGAACACCAGUGGCGAAGGCGGCUCUCUGGUCUGUAACUGACGCCUGAUGUGCGAAAAGCGUGGGGGAUCAAACAGGGAUUAGAUACCCUGGG
rnacentral:rRNA from 1 species